rnacentral:rRNA from 1 species
GACAAACGCUGGCGGCGUGCCUAACACAUGCAAGUCUGACGGGAAAGUCUCCUUCGGGAGACGAGUACAGUGGCGGACGGGUGAGUAACGCGUGGGAAUCUACCCGGUAGUGGGGGAUAACCCUUCGAAAGGGGGCGUAAUACCGCAUAAGUCCUACGGGGUAAAGAUGGCCUCUUUACAAUGCUAUCGCUUCCGGAUGAGCCCGCGUCCUAUUAGCUAGUUGGUGAGGUAAUGGCUUACCAAGGCCACGAUGGGUAGCCGGUCUGAGAGGAUGAACGGCCACACUGGGACUGAGAUACGGCCCAGACUCCUACGGGAGGCAGCAGUGGGGAAUCUUGCGCAAUGGGGGAAACCCUGACGCAGCAACGCCGCGUGGAUGAUGAAGGCCUUCGGGUCGUAAACUCCUGUCCUCGGGGAAAAGGAAGUGAUGGUACCCGGGGAGGAAGCCCCGGCCUAACUCCGUGCCAGCAGCCGCGGUAAGAUCACGUGUA